GACGUAGGAUGCGGAGCGUUAUUCGGAUUUAUUGGCGUAAAGCGUGACGUAGGCGGCUGUUUAAGUCUGGUGUUAAAGCGUAGGGGCUCAACCCCUGUGAUGCACUGGAUACUGGGCAGCUUGAGUGCGGUAGGGGAAGGUGGAAUUCCGAGUGUAGCGGUGAAAUGCGUAGAUAUUCGGAAGAACACCGGUGGCGAAGGCGAACCUUCUCGGGCCGCAACUGACGCUGAGGCACGAAAGCCUGGGGAGCGAACAGG
rnacentral:rRNA from 1 species